rnacentral:tRNA from 1 species
AGGGAUUUAGCUUAGUGGCAUAAGCACCUGCCUGGCAAGCAUGAGGUUGUGAGGUUGUAAGUUCGAUCCCUG